UCCACCCAUAAGCAGAUGGCCUCCCGCCCCCGCCCCCAGGAGGAUUUCUCAAUGGGGUGAAAAUGCCAGCCCCGGAGCCAGGGUCCCCGGACCCCCGGGGCGGAGCUGGGCGCCGGAGCCUGGGGACCGCGGCCGCCGAGCUGGAAGAAGUGGAGGAGAGAUCUACACAACUUAAGUGGGGCAACCUCCUCCCAUUUUCCUGCUCACCCACCUUGGCCCCAAUUCCAUCUCUGGGACACCCUGACCCCCCCAAAAAAGAAGUCACCCCUGGGUUCUGUCUGCAGAGAGCCAGGGUGAGACCGGGCAAGGCAAGCGAGCGACCUCAGUCGUGGGCAAGUAGCUUGUUUUUACGUCCUUCAAUAAAAAUUUUAUGAGGAUCA